UACGUAGGGUGCGAGCGUUAAUCGGAAUUACUGGGCGUAAAGCGUGCGCAGGCGGUUUUGUAAGUCAGAUGUGAAAUCCCCCGGGCUUAACCUGGGACUGCGUUUGAAACUACAAGGCUAGAGUGUGGCAGAGGGGGAUGGAAUUCCGCGUGUAGCAGUGAAAUGCGUAGAUAUGCGGAGGAACACCGAUGGCGAAGGCAAUCCCCUGGGCCUGCACUGACGCUCAUGCACGAAAGCGUGGGGAGCAACAGG
rnacentral:rRNA from 1 species